GAUGAACGCUGGCGGCGUGCUUAACACAUGCAAGUCGAACGGAAAGGCCCAAGCUUUCUUGGGUACUCGAGUGGCGAACGGGUGAGUAACACGUGGGUGAUCUGCCCUGCACUUCGGGAUAAGCCUGGGAAACUGGGUCUCAUACCGGAUAGGACGUUGGUUUGGAUGCCAUUGUGGAAAGUUUUUUCGGUGUGGGAUGAGCUCGCGGCCUAUCCGCUUGUUGGUGGGGUAAUGGCCUACCAAGGCGUAGACGGGUAGCCGGCCUGAGAGGGUGUACGGCCACACUGGGACUGAGAGACGGCCCAGACUCCUACGGGAGGCAGCAGUGGGGAAUAUUGCACAAUGGGCGCAAGCCUGAGGCAGCGACGCCGCGUGGGGGAUGACGGCCUUCGGGUUGUAAACACCUUUCGCUAGGGACGAAGCGUUUUUGUGACGGUACCUGGAGAAGAAGCACCGGCUAACUACGUG
rnacentral:rRNA from 1 species